GCCUGGGUGGCUCAGUCAUAAGCGUCUGACUUCAGCUCAGGUCAUGAUCUCAGUUUGUGGGUUCGAGCCCCGUGCCAGGCU
rnacentral:tRNA from 1 species